UGGCUGCGGUUUUUGCGUCUGCUCCGGGCUGUAAAACACUUUAACUCCUCCCUCCCCAAGUUCCCAGCUUUCUGCUGAGCCUCAGCUUUCUCACCGGUAGAAGAGGCCUUUGACCUCGCCUGUGUGUAAUGCCCUGUAGCUCGGGGACUGGUUUCCAGUGGAGUGGGUGGCCCGAGACCUCCCGCGGAGAAAGGGCCCCUCUGGCUGGGCCCACGUGGGCGAGGGGGUCUUUCUGCGGGGUCUGGCGUCCCGAGCCUUUGAGGGCCGGGCCUGAGCGGGAGUUUGCCCUGCCUCGCCCCCCAUAAGCAAGAAAAAUCCACGAAUUUUAGUAAAAUAUUGAUCCCGACGACACGGACCAAAAAAAAGUGACUUCAGUGGCCCUAUGUUUCACAUGGCAAUGUCACAACAUGGAAGGAGCUUGGAUCGUCAAGUCACCACUCAGAGAAGGAUUGCCCAGGAGAGCCAGUCAGCCAGCACUGGAUGUGAUAUAAAACGAAAAGGAGAGAAUACAGCGUCUCGAUCACCAUGACAACCACCUGGAAACACCUAUCUCUGUUGGCAAGCGGUGGCUGGUAAGGGGGAGAAUUUGAGAAAAGAUAAACAUCUUUUUUUCAUUGACUUGAAGCUGAUUAUCCAAAUAUUUGUAUCAUUUGAGGUA